rnacentral:rRNA from 1 species
AAUCUGCCUUCAACUCUGGGAUAACUCCGGGAAACCGGGGCUAAUACCGGAUAUGAGCCUUGAUCGCAUGAUUGGGGCUGGAAAGUUUUUCGGUUGAAGAUGACUUCGCGGCCUAUCAGCUUGUUGGUGAGGUAAUGGCUCACCAAGGCGACGACGGGUAGCCGGCCUGAGAGGGCGACCGGCCACACUGGGACUGAGACACGGCCCAGACUCCUACGGGAGGCAGCAGUGGGGAAUAUUGGGCAAUGGAGGAAACUCUGACCCAGCGACGCCGCGUGAGGGAUGAAGGCCUUCGGGUUGUAAACCUCUUUCAGUAGGGAAGAAGCGAAAGUGACGGUACCUACAGAAGAAGCACCGGCUAACUAUGUGCCAGCAGCCGCGGUAAUACAUAGGGUGCAAGCGUUGUCCGGAAUUAUUGGGCGUAAAGAGCUCGUAGGUGGUUCGAUACGUCGGAUGUGAAAAUCAGGGGCUCAACCCCUGACCUGCAUCCGAUACGGUCGAGCUAGAGUUUGGUAGGGGAGACUGGAAUUCCUGGUGUA